rnacentral:lncRNA from 1 species
GCCGGAGACCCCACACCGCCCGAGACCCCCCGGGACGGGCACCGCGGCUCCCGCAACCCGCAGGCGGGACCCACGGCCCCCCCGCACCCGCGGAACAGCGCGGCCUAUCCGCCUCCCCACCUCCGUGAAGGGAAAAGCCGCCCGCCCUGCGGGGAGGCCCCGCGGGGAAGCGCCGCUGAGGGGCGGAGGUGCCGGGCAGGAGCCGCGGGGAGCGAACCGCCUCCCCCUCAGCGACGUCGGGGGGGAGCCCGCCCGCCAUCACCUACACAAGCCAUGGGGCGGCCGGGCGCCUUCUCGCCCCCCCUCCGGUCGGGUGCGGGCGCUGCUCCCCGGCGCGUUCCCGCCUUCCCCCCGCUCCGCCCCCGGAUGUGGCGGCGCGGCCGUUCCGGGCCGUUGUCACCGACGCUCCGCGGUCGCCGGGGCUGUGGGCGCCGAGCCGCGGGGCGAACCCGGCCCGCAGAACUAAAAGAGUGGAAGGCGUUCUGGUAGGGGUGGAAGACGGAAGAUACCUGGCUGAGCUGAGGAAGCUGACGGAGGAACCAGGUGGAGUUGGAUGUAGGUGCAGGCUGAAGAGUCUCCCCUCUGGAAUGGGCUGUCUGUGAGAGUCGGGAGAGGGACGGAGGGUUUCUGAUCCUCAGUGCCCUUUUCUCUGUGUCUCAGAGAAACUUUCAGUGUCUUGUGCCACACGUGAGCCUCAGGGGAGAUGACCAUGUGUCACUGCAGCCAGAUAAUCGAGGCACGUAUUUUGGUGCCCUGCUGAUCAAGUUGAUACUCACUCUUCUUUAUGGGAGUCAGGGUUUGAUAUUUUUUUAAAUUACAAAGCAACAUGAAAAGGUGAAACUAAUAUUCAGAUUGUACCUCAAGCACUCAAUUUGGAAUUUUGAAAUGUAGAAACGACAAGAUUAUGAUUGUCUGUGAAACUUUGUUUUGGUCCCUCCCAUAUAUUUGAGAGAUGAUUUUUGACUUGAUUCCUGUGUAGUUGAAUACACUGAAUGGAUGGUGCACAAGGAAUCUGUUAGUGCUUUAUAAUGAAUACAGUUAGCUUUGUAGAACACUUUUUUUAUAUAACUGGGGAGAACAAGGCACGCAUCCGAACUCAAGCAGAAAAAAAAAUAAAUUACUGAAUUGCCUCCUUAGAGAACUGAAU